GCCAGGUGUGGUGGUGCACACUUAUAAUCCCAACUACUUGGGAGGCUGAGGCAGGAGACCAGCCUGGGCAAUUUAGGGAGACUCUGUCUCAA
rnacentral:sRNA from 1 species